AAAUGCAAAUGGAGUGGGAGUGGUGGUGGCCGUGAUGGAGCGUACUGUGUGGGUGUAGGGGGAUUUGGGGAGAGGGUGUCGUGGGCAGUAAGUUUAAACAAAUUCAAGGCCAUUACUACCACUGCAGACCAAAAUAACUUAGGUCUGAGAGACCCCCUUAGAAAGAUACAAUGCCUUCCUCAUCUAAAGGGAGCUAAUACCAGAGUGAUCUCGGCGCUCGCGCAGUUUUGAGAGAGGGUCCCGAAAACCGCCGGAGGCCAGGUGUCGCGGACGGGCCCCGGGCUAAACUCUCGUCUGGCGAAGUGAAGAGCGCAAAGUCUCCAGGCCCAGCGCGCCUUCGCGGGGCAGGCCGGACACCCUAGCCCCGGGCCGGGCUCGCUCUUCUCUGAAGCCCUGGAGCGGGCAAGGGGCACCAUUCUGGCCACAGGAACUCUAGUUUCAGCAGCCGCAGCCCGCCAGCGCUGGCUCGGACCGGGGCCUCCUCUGGGAGAGUAGGAGAGCGAAAAAAUCAACCACCACCUUGGAUUUCAGAUCGAGGAAAGGAAGCCAAAGCAAAGGUGUGGUUACACAGGACAUCCAUAGACAAAUCGUUGCCUCUCUAAGUGGGCCUGAGCUUUGCGGCUCCAGAAGCGCGAGGCGCGGUUGGUGCGGACGCGGGGGCGUGGGAGUCAUCGCUCUCCCCGCAGCCCUGGCCGAGCUCUCUGCUGUCCUCCCGAGUUUGGGCCAGAGACCACGGCUCACUCCCUAACGCCCUCGCAAGGACGGCUGCCCGUCGGGCCAAGGGCGCCCCGGGCUGGAGGCCGGAGCAAGACGGCCCCGCGGGACUCGGGAGCCUUGGUAAGGCGGAGGCUCAGACCCCGUUCACGAAAACGCCUGGCUCCUCCAGGAUUUGUCAGGUCUUAAGCAGCUCCGAGAAGGCUCCGCUGGCUCUUGGGGAACCCCGCUGUGCGGCUCACCCCCGUUUGUCUCUCUCAAGCUCUCGCCCUCCUCCCCUGGUCCUCCCUUCUCCAGAUCCCCUGCCCUGCCCGAGGUCCGGGCCGCGCGGGCUGAGCCCAAUACGCCCGGAGAAGAGCGCCGGAGCCCCCUGCUGGCCGGACGCGGCAGGCGCGGCGGCCCGCUCGGUCCCCUCCGCCCCGCGGGCUCUGCCCAGCCCGGACCCGCCUCCACCCUCCAGUGCCCUGGCGCUGGGGGCGUGCUAAAAGCAACAGAAAACAAAACAAAAACAAACAAAGCGCCAAACCCCACUCUCACCUCUUCUACUGGUCAAAGGUGGUUUCCCUGCACAAGCCCUCUUCUUUUGUGUGGCACCAUGUGAGAUGUGCCUUUCACCUUCCACCAUGAUUGUCAGACCUCCCCAGCCACAUGGAACCCACUUGUCCCAACUACCUGCUUCUGGCUUUGUUUUGCCUAAAGCUGUGAAAAAUAUUAUUCAAACACAAGAUGGCAAACUGAAGAAUGAAAAAUCAACAUGUAUCAAAUGAUGAAGGGGAAAGAUGGAAGAAGCCUGGGUUCUUGAUGGCAUCAUUGAACCCUCCAUGCAAGGCCAGCAACCAAGCUGUCAUUAACUAAAGCUAGAUGCAUUAUUAUGUUCAAGGAAUGAACCCUUAUCUGAUUAAAUUACUGCCAUCUAGGUUUUCUGUUACCUGCAGAUGAGCCAUCCUGAUGCUCAAUAUCAUAGAAUUAUUCUGAAAGUUAAAUGAAAUAAUGCAUGCAUAAUUGCUUAAAUAACUACAGAUAUACUGUUUAAAGAGGUAACACAGGGCAAUGGAAAAGGCAUUGGACUUGAACUCUGACUAAUUUAGCCUGGAAUCCUAGAAAGUCACCUUAUUAGACCUUCUUCAUAGGAAAAUGUAAACAAUCUCUGUGUGUCAGUUGUGUCAUCUCUAAAAUGGAAAUAAUUAGCAUCUUGGAGGAUUGUUGUAAAGGGUAAGGGAGAUAAGAUAUGGGAAAGCUCAUGGCAUAGGGCUUGAUACAUGUUAUUCAAUAAACAUAAGUUAGGGAGAAAAAUUAGCAAGUAGCAGUGUGGUCUGCCCCAAGUGAACACACUUCCUUUAUCUGAGUCAGAUUACACUGCCCCUUGAACCUUUACAACACUAAACAAAAUUUAGAGCACUAGGAGAUACUUCAGAGUGUCCUAUUAAUAAAAGUAGUGGAAGGAUAGUUUUUUUUUUUCUAAUUCUGUGAAGAACAUUAAUGGUAGUUUAAUGGGACUGGCAUUGAAUCUAUAGAUUACUUUGAAAAGUAUGGCCAUUUUCACAAUAUUGAUUCUUCCUAUCCAUGAGCAUGGAAUGUUUUUCCUUUUGUUUGUGUCCUCUCUGAUUUCUUUGAGGAUCAGUUUGUAGUUCUCUUUGAAGAGGUUCCUCACUUUCCUUCUCAGCUGUAUUCCUAGGUAUCUUUUUUUUUUGUAGCAAUUGUGAAUGGGAGUUCAUUCAUGAUUCAUCUCUCUGCUUGCCUAUUGAUGGUGUAUAGGAAUGCUAGAGAUUUUGCACAUUGAUUUUGUAUCCUGAGGCUUUGCUGAAGUUGCUUCUCAGCUUAAGAAGCUUUUGGGCUGAGAAAAUGGGGUUUUUUUAGGUAUAGGAUCACGCCAUCUGUAAACAAAGAUAAUUUGACUUCCUCUCUUUCUAUUUACCCUUUAUUUCUUUAUCUUGUCUGAUUGCCCUGGCCAGAACUUCCAAUACUAUAUUGAAUAAGAGUGGUAAAAGAGGGCAUUCUUGUCUUCUACCACUUUAAAAGCCAUAUGGAACCAAAAAUGAGCCCAAAUAGCCAAGACAAUCCUAAACAAAAAGAACAAACCUGGAGGCACCAUACUACCCAACUUCGAACUAUGCUACAAGGUUAUAGUAACCAAAACAGCAUGAUACUGGUACAAAAACAGGCACAUAGACCAAAGGAAUGAAAAGAGAACUCAGAAAUAAGACUGCACACCUACAACCAUCUGAUCUUCAACAAACCUGACAAAAACAAGCAAUGGGAAAAGAACUCUUUAUUUAAUAAAUGAUACUGGGAGAACUGGUUAGCCAUACACAGAAAAUUGAAAUUGGACCCCUUCCUUACACCUUAUACAGAAAUUAACUCAAGAUGAAUUGAAGACUUAAAUGUUGAUAUGGUUUGGCUCUGGAUCCCCACCCAAAUCUCACCUUGAAUUGUAAUCUCCAUAAUCCCCACAUGUCAAGGGCAGGACAGGGUGGAGGUAAUUGGAUCAGGGUGGUGGUUUCCCCCAUGCUGUUCUCAUGAUAAUGAGUGAGUUCUCAUGAGAUCUGAUGGUUUUAUAAGGGGCUCUUUUCCCUUUGCUUAACACUUCUCCUUCCUUCCACCUUGUGAGGAAACUGCUUUGCUUCCCCUUUACCUUCUGCCAUGAUUGUAAGUUUCCUGAGGCUUUCCCAGCCAUGCUGAACUGUGAGUUAAUUAAACCUCUUUCAUUUCUAUUAAUAAAUACCCAGUCUCAGCAAUUCUAUAGUAAUAUGGAAACAGACUAAUACAAAUUUAAAACCCAAAACUAUAAAAACCCUAGAAGAAAAUCUAGGCAAUACCUUUCAGGCAAAGAUUUUGUUACGAAAAUGCAAAAAGCAAUUGCAACAAAAGCAAAAAUUGACAAAUGGGAUCUAAUUAAAUAAACGAAUUUUGCAGAGCAAAAGAAACUAUCAUCAGAGUGAACAAAGUACAGAAUUGGAGAAAAUUUUUACAAUCUAUCCAUCUGACAAAGGUAUAAUAUCCAGAGUCUACAAGGAACUUAAUCAAACUACAGGAAAAACACAAACAACCCCAUUAAAAAGUGGGCAAAGGAUAUGAACAGACACUUCUCAAAAGAAGACAUACAUGGAGGAGCAAACACGAAAAAAAGCUCAACAUCACUGAUCAUUAGAAAAAUGCAAAUCAGAACCACAAUGAGAUACUAUCUCACGCCAGUGAGAAUGGCGAUUAUUAAAAAGUCCAAAAAUAAUAGAUGCUGGCAAUGUUGUGGAGAAAAAGAAAUGCUUUUACACUGUUAGUGGGAGUGUAAAUUAGUUCAGCCAUUGUGGAAGACAGUGUGGCAAUUCCUCAAAGACUUAGAGGCAGAAAUACCAUUUGACCCAGCAAUCCCAUUACUGGGUAUACACCCAAAGGAAUAUAAAUCAUCCUAUUAUAAAGAUGCAUACACAGGCAUGCUCAUUGCAGCACUCUUUACAGCAGCAAAGACAGGGAAUCAACCUAAAAGCCCAUCAAUGAUAGACUGGAAAAAGAAAAUGUGGUACACAUACACCACAGAAUACUAUGCAGCCAUAAAAAGGAACAAGAUUUUGUUCUAUGCAGGGACAUGGAUGUAACUGGAAGCUGUUAUCCUCAGCAAACUAAUGCAAGAAAAGAAAACCAAACACUCCAUGUUCUCACUUAUAAGUGGGAGCUGAAUGAUGAGAACACAUGGAUAAAUCAGGGGGAACGACACACACUGGGGGCCAUUGGUGGUGGGAUUAGGGGGAGGGAGGGCAUCAGGAAAAAUAGGUCAUGGAUGCUGGGGUUGAUACCUACGUGAUAGGAUGAUCUGUGCAGCAAACCACCAUGGCUCACGUUUUACCUGUGUAACAAACCUGCACAUCCUGUACAUGUACCCCUGAACUUUGGAUAAAAAGUUUAAGAAAAAAAAGUAGUAGAAAGAAUUUUAUUAGUUUAUUAAGUGUUAUAAAGAUCUAGGCACCAUUUAAAGAACUUCACAUAUACUAAUUUAAUCCUCAUAAAAGUUUAUGUGGUAGGUGUUACCAUUCACUUCAUUAUACAGAUGAGGAAAAUGCAGUGCAGAGAGAUUAAGAUAUUAAUCCCAGAUUAGAUAUCUAAUAAAUUGAGCAGCCAGAAUUCAAACUCAGGAAGUCUAGCUCCAGAGCUGGUACUCUUAAUCUCCGUAUUAUGUUAUCUUCUAACAAAAUUACUAACACAUUGACCGAACCCUCUAUCUGGUCAUGAAGAAGUUUGAAUCCAACCUAUCCCUGCUUACAGGCUUGGAUUGUUUGCAAAAGAGAAGGUAGAGCUGCUUCUCAUAGUUAGCUUUUGGAUAAAACAAUAUAUUGGGCCUGAUAGAGUUUGAAUAUGUGUCCCCUCAAAUCUCAUGAUGAAAUGUAAUCCCCAGUGUUGGGGGUAGGGCCUGGUGGGAGGUGUUUGGAUCAUGGGGGCAGAUCAUAAAUGGCUAUCAUCAUCCCCUUGGUGAUAAGUGAGUUAAUGUGAGAUCUGGUUGUUUACAAGUGUGUGGCACCUCCCACUCUCUUUCCCUCCCUCUUGCCCCUGUUCUUGCCAUGUGAGAUGACUGGCUUCCCUCUUCAUGUUCUGCCAUAAUUGAAAACUCCCUGAGGCUUCACCAGAAGCCAAGCAGAUGCUGGCAUCAUGCUUUCUGUACAGCCUGCAGAACCAUAAGCCAAUUAAGCCUCUUUUUUUAAAAACAAAUAAUCCAACUUCAGGUAUUCUUUUAUAGCAGUACAAGAAUGGUCCAACACAGGGCCAUUCCAUCUAUUUUAGUUUCUGGGGAGUUGAGAUGACAGAAGGCUCUAAAUCUCCAUUGGGCAUCACCACAUUAGGCCUGGCUGAGCAAAAUUUCAAGCCCAGGCUUUCUCAGUAGGCUUUUAAAUAAAGGGAUAAGCUGCUCUCUAAAUAAAGGAGCAUAGAAGGAACCAAAAGAAGACCUGAAACUUGCCUAUGCUGUUCCUUUUUCCUCAGCAUAAACUUGCAGGUAUCUUAAUAGAGGAAAUUUGUUAGCAUUUUGGCGUACUAUCCUAGGAAAAUAAUAACAUUUAUUAAUGUUCUUUAUUCCUAUAAAUAUGAAAUUUUCUUUAUGGAGAUAUGGGUGAUAUGAGACUUAUAUUUCCAUAAGGAUGCCCAGAAAAUACUCCAGAGUAAGCAGACUUCUUAGUUAGGCAUAAAUCUAUGUAAGGUUAUAAGAGUGAGAGUGAUUAUGGGCUUACUUAAAAUGGAUAUGGUGGUUUCACUCUCUUAGCUUGUCUUCCUGUAUUGUAGAAGCUAAAAGCUUAAAUUAGAUAAUUCCCAGACUUUAUUGCAGUUAAAAUUCUAGACAUGAAUUAGCUUCUGCCAAUUAAAUCCAUUCACAUACCAUUAAGAACAUGGAAAUGUGGAGGGGGCGCUCUUCAUUCCACCUGAGUGUUUCAACUGGCUGGUGUGACGGUAUUUGCCAGGGAAGCUGGAUGGAAGUGAGACAGUUGGGUCCCAUGCUGCAAAUUCUUGGAUUUUGCUAGGGUAAGGGGUGGCUUCAAAGGUUUCCCUGGAUCAACCUAGAGGAUAAUUAAAUCAAAGUAAACUUUACAGGCAGCAAGAUAAGGUAGAGAGCGAGUCAGAUUUAUUCCUUAGUUUUUGUAAGAAAUUAUAAAGGCUCAGAUGGUUCUGUAGGAAGGUGUAGAAGGGGUAUAGUUGAGGGCUUGUGGUUUUCCCUUGAAGUGUACCAAGGCACCAGGUAAUUCAGCUACAGAAGACCUGGGAUGACAAGUUUCAGGAAGAAGAUGGAUAGGGGUUAUGACAAAUGUUACAAAAUGUCUACAGAGCCUUCCAGAACCAAGGUGCCUAAUCAAGAGGGAAUACAACUGAAUCAUAGCUGCCUGAGAGAAAAAUAUGGAUCACAGAUAUAUAACCUAAGCAUAUUAUAGUGUCAGAAGUCAACAGAAGUCCUGAGGUAAUGCUAGUCAAUUUCAACAGGCAUCUGGUCCAUGGGGAAAUCUCAACUGGCUUGUCUUGAGUUGAGAUGAGUGAGGCUACGAAAUUUGAUGCAAGUUCCUGAGCUCCCAAGCCCCAUUUUGCUCUCACCAAUGCUGUACACCUCACCCAUAUCCCAAAAGAGCAGAGGAGGGCUCUGGAAGACUAGAAGACUGUCCAUUUUAACCUAAAAAUUCUAAGUAUCAUCUAAAGGGAACACUUAAAUUAUUGCAUCAGGCAAAGGUUACCACAUAAGGCUAAAAUUUAGAUUUUCCUUUCCACCUGUUUCCCAGUAGGUGGAUUAUGCUAAUGAUCAGAUCAGAUGAAGAGCAUAAAGCUUCCACAUUUUUUUCAGUGUGAGGGAAAAAAAUAUGAGUAUCUUUCAGACUCUUCUGCAUAGACUAUAUUUAGUUCAUUCUAUCUGCAGCCUUAAUUACCUGCCCCCAAUUCAAGAAAUAUGCAGUCCACAAAAAUGGAAGUUUUUCAUAGAUUAAAUAUCUUGCUUCCUUAUGAGGGAAGAGUUCUGAGCAGGGAAACAGAAAUUUUUCAGCUUUCCCUGUUAAGAUAUAAUGAAAUCAUUUUAUUAUUUGUUUUAACUCUAGAAUACUUAGAACCUCAGAUUAAGCCAUAUAUUCAAAUUUAUGUACAAUGACAAUAAGGUUAAAUCUACAUUGAUUUUUGAAUAAAUUGUGACAUGACUCAUCUGGGUCAACAUGGGUAAUCAGCAACUCAAUGUAUAUUCUUUGGAUGUCCCUCCCCCACCAUCUCCUGCUCCCACCACCUCCAUCAUAAUGGCUGCAGGUAAAGGAUUCUUGUAAAAGGCUAUCUGUGGUUCACAGACUUGCCUGGGGUGGGUAAGCACUAAAUGCACCCUUCGUCAGCUAACAUAAGGCUCAUUCACUCAGCUUAGCUUCUUUCCCAGCCUCCCAGGUUGGUGCAGUGUAAUCCCCCUUUCCUCCUUAUUUAUUUUUUAAGAUUUCCUAUAAUCCACAUACAUAUGUUCUUUUCUUAAGGUAACGAUUGUUUUUCAGAUCAAAAAAGAAAAAGUUUUCAAUCUAUUGAUUACAGUAAAACUCACUAAUCUUUUUGUUGCAUAAAUGUGUUUAUAUGUACAUCUAUGUCCUAGUUUUAGCAUUUCUGCCCUUAUUCAUUUUAAUAUCCUUUAAAAAGUGACUCCUGUUUUUUCUUUUGACCUGCAAAUAGCUUUGAUUACUUUUUCUUUGCAUAUGUUAGUGGACUCCAUAAGGAGAUCAUCAUGCAUAGGCACCUGUACCAUGUUUAGGGACAUUCAGCUAUUAGUUAAUUAGCCUACGUCUCAUGAGUAUUUAUAGUACUUGUAAUAUGGUAAAAUCAUGUGUAUUAGAGCUGGUCAGCAUGAGUCAUCCUUUACCCUAAGUUUGAAAUCUACUUCCCUGGUGUGGCAGGCCAGGCCUCACUAAUACAGGCCUCCCUAACAACCGUUUCAGUACUGAGUAGUUAAGUUAAAUAUUAAAAGUUAAAAAUGCCAGGGCCCUUAUACAAAGGCUGGAAUGUAACAAAAGCCCACCAAGAAUCUUGCCUAUGCUUUUCCUGGGCCUUAAAGCAUGACAAAAUAAUGAAGGAAUUCUUAACAGGACUCAUUUAGGAUUAAACAAGUUUUACUGGGGAUCUGAAGAAACUCCUCAGGCCUCCACAUACAAGUUGAUUAGGGGUCUGAAAGAAUACCCAAACCUCUGUGAUUUAACAGGAAACAAGAUAAGGGUAAUCACCCUACCACCUGAACCCCUUUAGACUAAGUAAAUUUACUGAGGCUCUAGAGGAAGGUCUUCAGGACUGAGACCUUAUAGAUUAAAAGAAGUUAAUCACUUAUGUCUUUAGAUGAAUGCAGACUUACACGUAGACUUAUAGCUUAGGAGGUACAUAAGCUCUGGAAAACUUUGUGUUUUGAGUUGGUCUGGUGAUAAUUUCCAGGUCUUCUCCCUGUAACUGGCUUACAGGAAUAAAACUUUCUUCCUCCCCAGUUCGUCCGCAUCUUGUUAUUGGGACACGAGAAACAGCCCGACCUUCAGUUUGGUUCAGGAACACUGGGACUCUGUUUUGAAAGAGCACUGUGAAAAAAUCUCCUCUUUUGUGGAACAGUUAUUUAAAAACAACCAACUAAAUGGAGAUUACUUAAGAGAAAUGUGUGUCGAGGACAUAAUUCCCUACAGCCCUAUUAAUAGUGGGAUUUUGUUGACAUGCUUAGAAAUGUCAGAGAAAUGUUGGCACUUGUAUCAUAUCAUCAUAUCCUCCCUGGUUAUGUUGGUCCUACCACUGCCAACAUGCUACAAGUCAUGGGCACUCUGCAUUUGCUCAAUGGAUGGAUUGAAUUCUUCCCUCAUUUAGUCAGUCAGUCUGCAAACAAUGAUGACCUCCUGGGUUUUAUCCAGAUCAAAUGCUAAGCACUCUAGGACCGAAUGCACAACAAUGAAUCCUGUAGCUUUAGUUCUCAAAAAACUUUGCAGUCUAAUGGUAUAAACAAACACACUAGGGGUCUCCAAAGCCAGCUGUGCAUACGUAUAGGUUGUACUAAACUAUCCCAUAGAAAAAAGAUUUAUGCUUAUAUUUUUACUAAAAAUUAAGAUACAUAUUAAUUUACUGAUAGUCAAUGGUCACAUGUCACUAAGGUACAAGUUUUCCUUAAGAAAGAGCGGAACUUCUGCAAUAUGGAAAGACUAGAGGCUUGCAUUCUCACCUGUUUGUUCACGUUCAAUUUAUUUUUAUGCCUGUAAGCAGAGAACAAAUUAUAAAGUGACUUGCAUCAUACAAAUUUACACUGAUGAUUUUAAGAAUCCC
rnacentral:lncRNA from 1 species